UACGGAGGAUGCAAGCGUUAUCCGGAAUGAUUGGGCGUAAAGCGUCCGCAGGUGGCUGUGUAAGUCUGCUGUCAAAGAGCGAAGCUCAACUUCGUAAAGGCAGUGGAAACUACACGGCUAGAGUGCGUUCGGGGCAGGUGGAAUUCCCGGUGUAGCGGUGGAAUGCGUAGAGAUCGGGAAGAACAUCAGUGGCGAAGGCGGCCUGCUGGGCUGUUGCUGACGCUGAGGCGCGACAGCGUGGGGAGCAAACAGG
rnacentral:rRNA from 1 species